rnacentral:rRNA from 1 species
UACGGAGGGUGCAAGCGUUAUCCGGAUUCACUGGGUUUAAAGGGUGCGUAGGCGGACAGGUAAGUCAGUGGUGAAAUCUCCGAGCUUAACUCGGAAACUGCCUUUGAUACUCUCUGUCUUGAAUAUGGUGGAGGUAAGCGGAACAUGUCAUGUAGCGGUGAAAUGCUUAGAGAUGACAUAGAACACCUAUUGCGAAGGCAGCUUACUACGCCUAUAUUGACGCUGAGGCACGAAAGCGUGGGGAUCAAACAGG